rnacentral:RNase_P_RNA from 1 species
CGAGUGGGCCAGACGGUCGCGCGUCUGACAGACGUGAGGAAAGUCCGGGCUCCACAGGGCAGGAUGCCAGCUAACGGCUGGGCGGGGCGACCCGACGGAAAGUGCCACAGAAAAGAAGACUCCCCCGCCGCGCAAGCGAGCGGGAGAAAAGCUGAAACGGUGCGGUAAGAGCGCACCAGCGCGCUGGCAACAGCGCGGCUUGGUAAACCCCAUCCGGAGCAAGCGCAAAUAGGAACGCCAUAGGCUUGCCCUGGCCUGCGUUCGGGUUGCGUGCUAAAGACGCCUGGCGACAGGCGCCGAAGAUAAAUGGCCGUCCAAGACAGAACCCGGCUUACCGGCCCACUCUUCUU